rnacentral:rRNA from 1 species
GACGAACGCUGGCGGCGUGCUUAACACAUGCAAGUCGAACGGAAAGGCCCUGCUUUUGUGGGGUGCUCGAGUGGCGAACGGGUGAGUAACACGUGAGUAACCUGCCCUUGACUUUGGGAUAACUUCAGGAAACUGGGGCUAAUACCGGAUAGGAGCUCCUGCUGCAUGGUGGGGGUUGGAAAGUUUCGGCGGUUGGGGAUGGACUCGCGGCUUAUCAGCUUGUUGGUGGGGUAGUGGCUUACCAAGGCUUUGAUGGGUAGCCGGCCUGAGAGGGUGACCGGCCACAUUGGGACUGUGAUACGGCGCAGACUCCUACGGGGGGCAGCGGAGGGGAAUAUAGCACAAUGGGCGGAAGCCUGAUGCAGCAACGCCGCGUGCGGGAUGACGGCCUUCGGGUUGUAUACCGCUUUCGCCUGUGACGAGGCGUGAGUGACGGUAAUGGGUAAAGAAGCACCGGCUAACUACGUG